rnacentral:lncRNA from 1 species
CCCUGUAUAUACAAAUGACAGAUUAUUCACUCAACAACAAAUUUCCUUGUUUACAUCAUAUGGCCCAUAUUAUUCAUAAUGGUUUAGUUUGUCGUCUUUUAAUUAAUUAUUGUUUCAAUUAAAUAAAUGUGUGACAUCAGUCAUUUUUUAAAAAGAACGUCAAAAUUAUUGAUUAGUUAGGAAAACUACCGUUUAAAUAUUCACAAUGUG